GAAGCGGCAACAGCUCAAAUUUGAAAUCUGGCGCAAGCCCGAAUUGUAAUUUGUAGAGGAUGCUUCUGGGUAGCGGCCGGUCUAAGUUCCUUGGAACAGGACGUCACAGAGGGUGAGAAUCCCGUAUGUGACCGGCGCGCACCCUCUACGUAGCUCCUUCGACGAGUCGAGUUGUUUGGGAAUGCAGCUCUAAAUGGGAGGUAAAUUUCUUCUAAAGCUAAAUACCGGCCAGAGACCGAUAGCGCACAAGUAGAGUGAUCGAAAGAUGAAAAGCACUUUGGAAAGAGAGUUAAAAAGCACGUGAAAUUGUUGAAAGGGAAGCGCCUGCAACCAGACUUCGCGGCAGUGUUCCGCCGGUCUUCUGACCGGUUCACUCUCUGCCGCGAGGCCAUCAUCGUCUGGGGCCGCCGGAUAAGACUGGAGGAAUGUAGCUCCCCUCGGGGAGUGUUAUAGCCUCCGGUGAUGCGGCGCGCCCCGGGCGAGGUCCGCGCUUCGGCAAGGAUGAUGGCGUAAUGGUUGUCGGCGGCCCGUCUUGAAACACGGACCAAGGAGUCUAACAUCUAUGCGAGUGUUCGGGUGUCAAACCCCUACGCGUAAUGAAAGUGAACGGAGGUGGGAACUUUUUGUGCACCAUCGACCGAUCCUGAUGUCCUCGGAUGGAUUUGAGUAAGAGCAUAGCUGUUGGGACCCGAAAGAUGGUGAACUAUGCCUGAAUAGGGUGAAGCCAGAGGAAACUCUGGUGGA
rnacentral:rRNA from 1 species